AUUUUCUCUAUCUUAUGGUGCUGUCUACCUCUAUAUAAUAGUUAGACAAAUAGCAAUUAAUAUAUACUUAAUGAAUUAAAAUGUUGUCAGUUUCAUAUUGGUUCACAGUCUAGUGACCUAAUUCCAGUUCUACUAAAUGGCUGCCUAAUACUGAGCAUGUCAGUCACUCUGUGACUUAAUUUCCUCAAAUGUUAAAUGAAAAAAACAGGUUAGCAAUGUCUAGUUCUGCUUUACCAGCUAAAAAUAUUAAUAGUCCUGUUAUUUAAUUAUAAAGCAUAGGAGUCACUGGGAAAACAUAGUUCUUUUCCAUGUGUAUUCAUAGAUAGAUGAAUGCAAUCAUUUUCCGGAAUCUAAGAAUUUGUUGUAGAGUAGCAAGAGAACCCAAAAUGGUUGCUAAAGAGAGUGUUUCUCAAUUCAAACUGCUAUCCAACUACUAGAAUAAAAGACUAUGAAUUGUGUUGCAUGUUGCGAUUAUACAGUGUACAAAUUACUGAUUCAUUAUAGAUAAACAGACUUUGGCCAUAUUAGAUGUGGUUUCAUUGAAUUUAUUACUUACUGCUUCUUUCUAAAGCAUUUACAGUGUCUUACACAAAGACAUAUGAUGGGGUAAAUAGGCUAAAGCAUACACACCAUGGAAAGUUGGGGACAGUAUGCUAGUUAUAAAACACUGUAGCAUGCUGCCUUAGGGGCUAGCAGGAAGUGAAAGGAAUGUAGGUAAUAUCUAUAAACGCAAAAGUGCAGGGUCCUUAAAGGAGUAAUUGUCCCUCUUUUGCUUAUCCUUACUCUCAAAAGCAGGUAUGUUGCCCUGGGACAGAGACUUAGAACACUGCAGAGACGUUUCAGUUAAGCAUUCCAAGGAAAUGUAGUCUAAGACCUUGGCAUACUCUCUCUCAAGGUUGUAUUUAAAAUUUGAAAAAGCAAAACUAUGCAAAACAAACAAGCACACAUUCCUUCUUAUAGUAUAUGUGACAUCCCUGCCGUUUCAGACUUUCAUUCUCCGUUUCUCAUGACUACCAGCACACCUUAAGAUGCUUGUGCACCACGAUUGUGUUUGGUAUGGUGAUGGUCCAGAAAAAUCCAUCUGCCUCGACCAUCCCAUCUCCAUUCUCCCAUACUCUUCUCCCAUCCCCUUUCAGCUGACAGUUGAAGUUUUACUUUGAAUUAUCAUCUAAUCUUUAAAUAUAUCAAAUAUGGUAAUGAAUCUUUAAGACCCUUUUUGUUAUUCUUACUGAAAUGUUUUAACUUUUCGAUAUUAGGCUAUGAAUUGAGCUAUCUAUUCCACACUUAGAAAUCCUUCAAAAUGACAGUGAGCUCUCUUAAAUUGCCGUUGUCCAGUUUCUUAAUUAAUGAAGAGUGUGCCUCUGGUCCUGCCAAUGUUUUAUGAUCAUGUACUAAAUUUCAGUAUUAACUCAUACGAUAUAUAUCCUUCUGUUUUGUUUGGUAAUUCCACAGAAUUUCUUUAAAUAAAUAAAUAAAACAGUGUCUCAUUUUCACCUUUAGAAUCAUGUUAAUCACUAACCUUUAAAUU
rnacentral:lncRNA from 1 species